rnacentral:rRNA from 1 species
CCUACGGGAGGCAGCAGUGGGGGAUAUUGCACAAUGGGGGGAGCCCUGAUGCAGCGACACCGCGUGGGUGAAGGAGUGCUUCGGCAUGUAAAGCCCUAUCGGCAGGGAAGAAGCACGACGGUACCUGACUAGAAGCCCCGGCUAACUACGUGCCAGCAGCCGCGGUAAUACGGAGGAUGCGAGCGUUAUCCGGAUUUAUUGGGUUUAAAGGGUGCGUAGGCGGACUGGAAAGUCAGCGGUAAAAUCGAGAGGCUCAACCUCUUUCCGCCGUUGAAACUGUCGGUCUUGAGUGGGCGAGAAGUAUGCGGAAUGCGUGGUGUAGCGGUGAAAUGCAUAGAUAUCACGCAGAACUCCGAUUGCGAAGGCAGCAUACCGGCGCCCGACUGACGCUGAGGCACGAAAGCGUGGGUAUCGAACAGGAUUAGAUACCCUGGUAGUC